UUCAGUCAAGACUUCUCGAUUAGUGCUGACCGAUAAAUCGUAUUUUCAUCGUCAUCGCAAUAUGAACAUGCACGGCAAACACAGCAAAAGAUUGCCUGAAACGCAGGGAAACUUUAUUUAUGGAGGAGUACCAAAACCCUGUAUUAAACGUGCCCAGGGGCUAAAAACUAUAGUAUUUUUCAUCACUCUGCAGCCUCUCCUCUGCGUCUGGUCCGAACUCUUCCACACAUAGGCUACACACACAAACACACACAGAGCAAAGUCAGCAGGCAGCAGGUCAGAGAGGCUGCAGAGGAGACCGGGAAGUAAAGUGAAGAUAGCUCAAGCUGAAGACAACUACAGUUGUUACUGUGGAGCCUGCUGCUCAGACGGAGAGAGUCUCAAGCGCUCCCGU